rnacentral:tRNA from 1 species
UGCGGGAGUAGUUCAAUCGGUUAGAGCACCGGCUUGUCACGCCGGAAGUUGAGGGUUCGAGUCCCUUCUCUCGCGU